rnacentral:rRNA from 1 species
UACGUAGGGUGCGAGCGUUAAUCGGAAUUACUGGGCGUAAAGCGUGCGCAGGCGGUUCGUUAAGUCAGCUGUGAAAGCCCCGGGCUCAACCUGGGAACUGCGGUUGAAACUGGCGAACUAGAAUCUGGCAGAGGGGGGGUGGAAUUCCACGUGUAGCAGUGAAAUGCGUAGAUAUCUGGAGGAACACCGGUGGCGAAGGCGACAUCCUGGACCGGUAUUGACGCUGAGGCGCGAAAGCCAGGGGAGCAAACGGG